CGCCUUUCGGCGACAACGUAAAAAAAAUAGAAAAUAACCACUCUCAUCGAACUCGUCUCUCUGGUAUCGUCUUUCCCUCUUUCCCCAAUGGAUUCACCGUCUUCAGCAAAACCAUCGGAGAAAUCGAGAAUCGAGAAAUUCGUGCGGAGAGUAAUAUCGCCGGCAGUCGUCGGCAAAAGGUGUCCGAUAUGCUUGAGAAACCUCAACGCCCGCGGAGCAGCGGUUCUCACGGGUUGCUCCCACGCUUACUGCUUGGGGUGCAUUCGCAAGUGGAGCGAUUUGAAGAGGAAGUGCCCUCUCUGCAAUUCCACCUUCGAUUCUUGGUUCUACAAGAUCGACCUCUCCUCUCGAAAAUUCCUCAAACAGCAAUUACCAGCUCUCUCCAAGGGCAAACCGGUCAUUCAUCGACCUCGAUCCACCUUAAUUGAUCGUCGACGGAUUAUUGAAAGAACAAGGGAAGAAAUGAACAAUGUUAACUGGAGAACCAGACCAUUGCCUUGGCGGCGAUCAUUUGGGCGGCCUGGGACCGUGCCGGCCCAUGUUAUCGAAGAAAGGAAGCUUCAAUGGCGAGCCAGUGUGUAUAAACGACGGUUGCAAGCUAUGCCUGGAUCUCCUGGGACUAGUUCUCAGCAGAAUGUACCUAGGAAUGAUUGUGAGAAAGAGAGAAUACUGCAGAGAAUAAAACCAUGGAUACGAAGGGAGCUUGAGGCUAUCCAUGGAGAUCCCAAUCCAUCAAUCAUUCUCCAUGUUGUAUCCUCGCUUUUCUUUUCGAGGCAUGAAAGGAAGUAUGAUAGCUCGUCUGGGCAGCUUUGUGUUGAAGACGACUUUCUGGCUCCUUUGAAGCCUUUCUUGCACAAUUGGACCAACAUGUUUUGGCAUGAACUUAGUUGUUUUGCAGAGAGUUCAUUUACCAUUGAAACAUAUGAUGCAGUAGUUGAGUAUAGACAGUUGGAGUAGUUUCCUAAUGAGUUGCGUUUUACUUUAACCGAUCUCUCAUCCUGCACUUUUGUCCACAUGUUAGCUAGCCAUAUCCAUGGCUUGAGACAUCAGUUCCUUCAGAGCUUGCUAGAGGAUAGUUGCCUAUUACUUGGGACUUCGCUAGAACUUCCCAAGUGGUAUCUCCAAUGGUCCUGUGACGGCUGCACUAUCAUUUGCAUAAGCAAUCAUUUAACAUGAUCAGCUUAGUGAGUGAGGGGUAAAUCAAGGUUCUAAAGCUAUGAUUUACCUGAGAGCAAAAAUGCUUAUUACAGUCAUUUUGCUUGAAGGUUGACAGAAGAACCAAGAAGCAAGAGCGGAGCAGAUGUUAAGGUUUGUCAAUUCGACCACUGCUGGUUUAGGAGCAGAUUAAGCAUGUUGGUCCAAUAUAGGGACAGGCUUGGGGCCAACCAAUAAACUAUUGCAGUUUGAUGAAAAGAGUUAAGAGAUUCUAUGUGACAACCUGAUACAUCAAGAAAUGAUCAAGUAACAAUGCAACAAAAUAAUACAUCUUGCAAGAACUACAGGUGCCUUUCACAAAGGCGUUUUUGUUAGUACAAGCUGAGAAUCUUGAUCGGGCAUGCAAUUGUCAUUCUUCCUCUGGCUCUUCUUCCUCUUGGAG